GGUGGUUAUUUUUUGUUUGGCCUGGAGCUGCGUGUUUGGAUUUUAGUGGCAUAGUUGAUUUUUAGGGUUUGCUUAGCGUAAAAUUGUUAUAUUUGGUUAUUCAGAGUAUCAUUUGCCUGGAGCUGUGUGUUAGGCUUUUAGAGUGGUACAGAAGUUGAUUUUCAGGUUUUGCUAAGCGGAGAAUUGUUAGUUUCUUAAUGGCAUAGAGGUUGAUUUUCAGGUUUUGCUAAGCGGAGUAUUGUUAGUUUCUUAAUGGCAUAGAAGUUAAUUUUCAGGUUUUGCUAAAGGUAGAAUUGUUUUAUUUGGUUAUUCAGAGUAUCAUUUGCCUGGAGCUGUGCGUUAGGUUUUUAGAAUGGUACAGAAGUUGAUUUUCAGGUUUUGCUAAGCGGAGUAUUGUUAGUUUCUUAAUGGCAUAGAAGUUAAUUUUCAGGUUUUGCUAAAGGUAGAAUUGUUUUAUUUGGUUAUUCAGAGUAUCAUUUGCCUGGAGCUGUGCGUUAGGUUUUUAGAAUGGUACAGAAGUUGAUUUUCAGGGUUUGCUAAGCGGAGAAUUGUUUUAUUUAGUCAUUCAGAGUAUCAUUAGCUGGGCCUGGAACUGUUUGUGAGGUUUUUAGUGGCAUCAUCAUUAAGAUCGCCGGAGCGAGACUGUAUGUACCGUACCGCCGCCGGAAGUGUGGUGGUGGUGAUGGUGAUGGUGAUGGUGGUGAUGGUGGUGGCGGUGGUGGUGGCGGUGUCGAUGCUACCAGGUUAAUACGAUACAAAUUAGAGCUUUUAUUCCUGUGUUCGAAACUUAAUAACCGUGAAUUAUGAGCUUUUCAGUCGUUCUCACCUCCCCGUUGUCUA